AGCGCGGAUAGCAAUAUCUGGCGGCGACCGGCGGACGGGUGCGCAACGCGUGCGCAACCUGCCUUUUGCUGCGGGAUAACCCAAAGAAAUUUGGACUAAUACCGCAUGGUACAUUGGUACGGCAUCGUAUUAAUGUUAAAGAUUUAUCGGCAAAAGAUGGGCGCGCGUAUCAUUAGGUAGUUGGCGGGGUAAUAGCCCACCAAGCCAUCGAUGAUUAGGGGUUCUGAGAGGAUUACCCCCCACACCGGCACUGAGACACGGGCCGGACUCCUACGGGAGGCAGCAGUGAGGAAUAUUGGUCAAUGGGCGCAAGCCUGAACCAGCCAUCCCGCGUGCAGGACGAAGGUCCUAUGGAUUGUAAACUGCCUUUUUUACGAGAGCAAAUGGAGGCAUGCGUGCCUUUUUGAGAGUAUCGUAAGAAUAAGCAUCGGCUAACUCCGUGCCAGCAGCCGCGGUAAUACGGAGGAUGCGAGCGUUAUCCGGAUUUAUUGGGUUUAAAGGGUGCGUAGGCGGAAUGCUAAGUCAGCGGUGAAAUUUUGGGGCUUAACCCCACACGUGCCGUUGAUACUGGCGUUCUUGAGGGCAAGUGAAGCUGGCGGAAUGUGCAGUGUAGCGGUGAAAUGUUUAGAUAUUGCACAGAACACCGAUUGCGAAGGCAGCUGGCUAACUUGGGUCUGACGCUGAGGCACGACAGCGUGGGGAGCAAACAGGAUUAGAUACCCUGGUAGUCCACGCCGUAAACUAUGAAUGCUCGCUGUUUGGCGCGUUGGCGUUGAGCGGCUAAGAGAAAUCGUUAAGCAUUCCACCUGGGGAGUACGACCGCAAGGUUGAAACUCAAAGGAAUUGACGGGGGCCCGCACAAGCGGAGGAACAUGUGGUUUAAUUCGAUGAUACGCG
rnacentral:rRNA from 1 species